CUAAUUCAUAGCGCUGGAUUUUGCUAAGUUUUCCCUCUACCCUUGAGUCCCCUUUUAACCUUCAGAGUGUUAUUCUACAGAGGAUCUCUCCCUUUUUGGAGUCUAGCAUCUUGCAUCUUCCUGGAGCCCCAACCAAACUCAUAACCUCUAAGCUUCUAAGAAAUAUAUGAUGAGCUCCAUGAGGGUCAAGGUUGUCCGCUCUUGGUCACCAUUGCAUACCCAGGAGCUCACGGCAUGCUGGCGGUGCUAGUUCUAUCCUCCACAGAAUAAUCGCUGACAAACUCUCUUGCCCAGAAAAUGUCUAUUGGAAUUAUGGAGUACAAAAAACUACAAAAGCAAUGAAAAAAAAAAAAGAAGAAGAAUGUUUUAUUUACAUCCUAUUUCAAAACGAAUGCUUUCGUGCUAUUGUGUAUCUCUGCAGGCCCAAUAUCGUGUAUCUGCAUAAAAAGUUUAGAAUUGUUCCUUAUAACAAACACUGGCAUAUUCACUUGAAAGUGUAGAUUUCAUUCACUUCCAGAACAGUUAGCUCAUAAUUCGGAACAUUGAGGUUUGCAAAAUGACUGAAGGAAACUUUACCCAAACAACAGUUACUAGUUCUGCUGAGAAUUAUCACAGGCCCACAACAGCCGUGUGUUUUCCAUACAGAAAUUCUGAUUUAAUUUUUAUUAUCCAGCUAAUAUUUUUAGAAUCAUGAAUAAAAUAGCAAGUCAGUCUGUGCAUAAGCAUAUGUUUAAGUCUAUGGGGAGAAAUGUCUGGAAUCCUUUUGGUUAUUAAAAUUAGAAUUCAGAAUAAUGAAAAGCAUAUGCAACUGAUUGUAUUCUUUCUACAGCUUAUUUCAUCUAAUCCUCCAAACAGCUGUAUGACGUAUUUAUCCCCACCUUGCAUA